UACGAAGGGGGCUAGCGUUGCUCGGAAUCACUGGGCGUAAAGGGUGCGUAGGCGGGUUCUUAAGUCAGAGGUGAAAUCCUGGAGCUCAACUCCAGAACUGCCUUUGAUACUGAGAGUCUUGAGUAUGACAGAGGUGAGUGGAACUGCGAGUGUAGAGGUGAAAUUCGUAGAUAUUCGCAAGAACACCAGUGGCGAAGGCGGCUCACUGGGUCAUUACUGACGCUGAGGCACGAAAGCGUGGGGAGCAAACAGG
rnacentral:rRNA from 3 species